GACGAACGCUGGCGGCGUGCCUAAUACAUGCAAGUAGAACGCUGAAGGAGGAGCUUGCUCUUCUGGAUGAGUUGCGAACGGGUGAGUAACGCGUAGGUAACCUGCCUGGUAGCGGGGGAUAACUAUUGGAAACGAUAGCUAAUGCCGCAUAAUAGUAGAUGUUGCAUGAUAUUUACUUAAAAGGUGCAAUUGCACCACUACCAGAUGGACCUGCGUUGUAUUAGCUAGUUGGUGGGGUAACGGCUCACCAAGGCGACGAUACAUAGCCGACCUGAGAGGGUGAUCGGCCACACUGGGACUGAGACACGGCCCAGACUCCUACGGGAGGCAGCAGUAGGGAAUCUUCGGCAAUGGACGAAAGUCUGACCGAGCAACGCCGCGUGAGUGAAGAAGGUUUUCGGAUCGUAAAGCUCUGUUGUAAGAGAAGAACGAGUGUGAGAGUGGAAAGUUCACACUGUGACGGUAUCUGACCAGAAAGGGACGGCUAACUACGUG
rnacentral:rRNA from 1 species